GAUGAACGCUGGCGGCGUGUUUAAGACAUGCAAGUCGCACGGUGUCAUUUUGGUAGCAAUACUUGGAUGGCACAGUGGCGCACGGGUGAGUAACACGUGAAUGACAUGCCCUUCAGAGGGGGAUAGCCCAGGGAAACUUGGAUUAAUACCCCAUGGUCUCGCAAGAGUAAAGGUGGCCGCAAGGCUGUCGCUGGAGGAUUGGUUCGCGUUCUAUCAGCUUGUUGGCGGGGUAACGGCACACCAAGGCUACGACGGAUACCUGGGCUGAGAGGACGAUCAGGCACACUGGAACUGAGACACGGUCCAGAGACCUACGGGUGGCAGCAGUCGAGAAUAAUUCACAAUGGGGGCAACCCUGAUGGUGCAACGCCGCGUGGAGGAUGAAGGUCUUCGGAUUGUAAACUCCUGUCAUCCGAGAGCAAGACCUGACGGUGAAUAGCCGGCAGGGUUGAUAGUACCGGAAGAGGAAGGGACGGCUAACUUCGUGCCAGCAGCCGCAGUAAGAC
rnacentral:rRNA from 1 species